CGGAAGUAUCUGAAGGUGAGGUGCAGGUGGUGGUGACAUUCACGAUCAGUUUUGUAGAAUUUUGCAGAGGCAACUUCGUUCUUUUUUUGGUUUUCUAUUUCUUCAUUUUCCCUUCAUAUUGGAUAUCUAUAUAUCAAGCCACGCACACAUCCUUUUUUUUUUCAAACCAACAAAUGCCGCACCAUUAUCCAUUGUAAUCCACUCGAAAAAAAAAAGCCCAAAACCAAUUUAGAUAGUUCGGAUGUGUACAAAACCUAGAACAACAGGGGAGAGGAGUUGAGUCAUGAGUGGCGCUGGUGCCGGAUCCAGAGAAGUCGUCGAAGGUGGGGUUUGACUUUGAGGAACUUGCCGCAGCAUCCCAAGCCCAAGGGAGUCGCUCAUGGCUUCUUGCAUUUGGAGCUGGUAGGCGACGCCGUGGUCCUACUCAACGGUUUCCGCCGCCGCGAGUUCACGGCAUUGAUCGGUGACGGCGAGUAGUGUUGUGCGAUCGCCAUCAACUUCCGUAGUUGUUUUGGCGCCAAGAUUGAACUCUGUGACGUCAGGUAACCGCCGGAUUGUUUGGUAAAAUAAUUGCUACACAAAAGUUCGCCUUUAAUUGAGCCAGGGACUGAAUAAAAGUUCGCCUUUUACUUCAGCUUUUCACAGAUUUACAUCUUUUUUUUUUCUACCCCUUUUGGUUGGUAGUAACUGCUUUACUUCCACUCUUUACGUCUUUAUUAUUAGGCAUGUCAUUCUGGUCGGAAAAUUAUUGGUUUAAAUAGGGUCUAAUUUUAUAAAACUCGAAUCCAAACUCAAGCCAUUACCAUGGGAGCUGCUGAAGAAAACUUUUUCCUCCAUGCAAUAGAAUCGAUCGUGAGCCCUCCUGCUAAUUAUGGACAAAAUCUAGGCUAGUGAAACACCACAGGAGGUCGACCAAAAAAAAGCCGCAACAUCAAAAGAGGCAUUUGUGUGUGUUCCUAAAAAGAUCGAACUCUUUACUCUACUAUAUAUUGAUCUGUGCCAUAGAUAAUGAUCCCUUGAAAUGUACGAGCUAGCAAAUAUCGGAAGUCCAGUAAUAAGUUGUACAUCGGCCAUAAACAUUCUUCUAAACGCAGGUCUACCGCGCCUAAGUUAAUAUAUAAUCCUGUCCUCAUCCCAGAGUGGACAAUUACAAGUGGCUUUGUUUUCCUUCCACUCCGAUCCACAUGUAUAACAAAACUGAUGUCCGCAUCUACACAGACGACACAGAGAAAAGAUCAGAUUAAACAAGUGGGAACCAGCAUCAUCUUAGUGUCAACAUCUUAGUGUCAAAAAAAGAUUAGCAAGAAACAUCAGGAGGCUUGGAAUAAGUACUUACCUCGUUCUUGGUUUCACAGAAGCAAGGAAAUCAAGGACAAUUACUCAACUGUGGCCUUUGAGUUGGAAAG
rnacentral:lncRNA from 1 species